rnacentral:rRNA from 1 species
UACGGAGGGUGCAAGCGUUGUUCGGAAUCAUUGGGCGUAAAGCGCGUGUAGGCGGCUUGGCAAGUCAGUUGUGAAAGCCCGGGGCCCAACCCCGGAAUUGCAUCUGAAACUGCCUGGCUGGAGUCCCGGAGAGGAAGGCAGAAUUCCCGGUGUAGGGGUGAAAUCCGUAGAUAUCGGGAGGAAUACCAGCGGCGAAGGCGGCCUUCUGGACGGUGACUGACGCUGAGACGCGAAAGCGUGGGGAGCAAACGGG